UCUCAGUUCUCAUUCCAGCUCCCUCAACUUGAGGGCAUAAGACAGCCCAAGAGAAGUACCACCAGUUAAGUUCCCACCACAAAAUAGGCAAAAAUUGACAGAACAGAGGAGCCACAGAACGAAGGACUCAGGAGGGAGAUCAUCUGAGCCUAUUUGGGAAGACAUAGUUCUGAGAGGGAAUGAAAAGAGGGGGGGAAAAAUCGGCAUCAACCUGGAUGGAGGGCUGAGGAGGAGGAGUGGUGAUGGGAGGUGCCAAGCUUGAAGAUGAGGAAACUGAGGAGAAGAAAAGGCCAGCCACCAGCCAGGUUCCAGGUUUGCCUGCCUGCCACUGAAAUCUGUCCUCAGAGGGACCUCCUUUGUCCUACAAAGGCCAGCUCCAAUUCAGGAUUGGGAUGGAAGGUAUUU
rnacentral:lncRNA from 1 species